AUCAUUUUUCUCUUCUCCUUCACCGAAAUAUGCAGCAAAGAAAGGGAUUUGAAGCUGGAAAAUUUCAGCAACAUAUUUCCCUUGCUUAUGAUGAAAAUCAAGAUUUGGACCUAGAACGGAAAGAAAUCGAUUAAGGGAUAAUUACGUCUUUUUUUUCACCUUUGUGGUAUCGAGAGUUUCCAGGUUAGCUGGGGUUGGAGGCCGUCAGAGAUAUUAUCACACUGUCAAGCUAACGCUAUUGGUGUAGCGAUUUCAAGUACUUUGAGCCUAUGGCAUGUAUAGGAGUUUAAAUAUUAGAGUAUGUGAUAUGGCUUUAACCAUAUGUGUUGGCCUAUUUUGAUUAUGGGGUUGUAAAUCUAUUUUAAUUAUGCAUGCAUGUGCUAUGGUAUUAUGUGAUGAGUUUAUAAUGAUUAUAGUAUGAAUGUGGUAAAGAUGUGAGUAAAA